ensembl:lncRNA
CCCCCGCAGCUCCUCCCAGUCCUCCCAGUGGUCCUCCCAGUCCUCCCAGUCCUCCCAGUCCUCCCAGUCCUCCCAGUGGUCCUCCCAGUGGUCCCAGUGGUCCUCCCAGUCCUCCCAGUGGUCCUCCCAGUCCUCCCAGUCCUCCCAGUCCUCCCAGUCCUCCCAGUGGUCCUCCCAGUCCUCCCAGUGCUCGCAGUGCUUCCAGUGGUCCUCCCAGUCCAUCCCAGUUCCCUCCCAGUGCUCCCAGUGGUCCCAGUGGUGCUCCGAGGGUUCCUCCGGUUCCUCCCAGUGGUUCCAGCAGGCGGCCUGGGGGGGACACGGGGGGGGUCACUUGUCAUCAUCCCACCAUCGUCAUCGUCAUCGUCAUCGUCAUCCUGACACCAUCGUCAUCAUCAUCCCACCAUCAUCAUCAUCGUCAUCAUCCCACCAUCAUCAUCGUCAUCGUCAUCCCGACACCAUCAUCAUCAUCAUCCCACCAUCAUCAUCAUUAUCCCACCAUCAUCAUCAUCAUCAUCAUCCCACCAUCAUCAUCAUCAUCAUCAUCAUCAUCAUCAUCCCACCAUCAUCAUCAUUAUCCCACCAUCAUCAUCAUCAUCAUCAUCAUCAUCAUCAUCCCACCAUCAUCAUCAUCAUCAUCAUCAUCAUCAUCAUCCCACCAUCAUCAUCCACCAUCUCCACCACCAUCUUCAUCCCACCAUCAUCAUCAUCCCACCACCACCAUCAUCAGACCCUCAUCUUCAUCAUCCUCACCAUCCCACCUUCAUCAUCAUCAUCUUCAUCCCACCAUCAUCAUCACCAUCCCACCACCAUCCUCACCACCUCCAUCCCACCAUCACCAUCACCACCAUCUUCAUCCCACCUUCAUCAUCAUCACCAUCCCACCAUCAUCAUCUUCAUCCCCCCACCACCAUCUUUGCCACCUUCAUCCCACCAUCACCCCUAUAGUCUUCAUCCCACCACCAUCAUCAUCCCACCAUCAUCAUCAUCAUCAUCCCACCAUCAUCUCCAUCAUCAUCAUCAUCAUCCCACCAUCACCCCAUCAUCAUCCCACCAUCAUCAUCAUCAUCAUCCCACCAUCAUCUCCAUCAUCAUCAUCAUCAUCCCACCAUCACCCCAUCUUCAUCCCACCAUCAUCAUCAUCCCACCAUCAUCAUCAUCAUCAUCAUCCCACCACCAUCAUCGUCAUCACCAUCCCACCAUCAUCAUCAUCACCAUCCCACCAUCACCAUCACCCCACCUUCAUCCCACCCUCAUCUUCAUCAUCAUCCCAUCACCAUCUUCCUCAUCAUCAUCAUCAUCAUCACCAUCCCGCCUUCAUCAUCAUCAUCUUCACCCCACCACCACCAUCUUUGCCAUCUUCAUCCCACCAUCACCACUGCCAUCUUCAUCCCACCCUCAUCAUCAUCACCAUCCCACCACCAUCAUCACCAUCCCACCAUCUUCAUCAUCACCAUCCCACCCUCAUCUUCAUCACCAUCCCACCACCACCACCAUCAUCAUCCCACCAUCACCUCCACCAUCUUCAUCCCACCCUCAUCAUCAUCCUCACCAUUCCACCACCAUCACCAUCAUCCCACCAUCAUCUUCAUCACCAUCCCACCACCACCACCACCAUCAUCAUCCCACCAUCACCUCCACCAUCUCCAUCCCACCAUCAUCUUCAUCACCAUCCCACCACCACCAUCAUCACCAUCCCACCCUCAUCAUCAUCACCAUCACCAUCACCACCACCUCCACCCCUCCCUCAUCUUCAUCAUCACCAUCAUCUUCAUCCUACCCUCAUCAUCCUCACCAUCUCCACCAUCACCACCACCAUCUUCAUCCCACCAUCACCACCUUCAUCCCACCAUCAUCUUCAUCCCCAGGCCACCCC